AAUCCAUAGGUUAAUGAGGCGAACCGGGGGAACUGAAACAUCUAAGUACCCCGAGGAAAAGAAAUCAACCGAGAUUCCCCCAGUAGCGGCGAGCGAACGGGGAGGAGCCCAGAGCCUGAAUCAGCAUGUGUGUUAGUGGAAGCGUCUGGAAAGGCGCGCGAUACAGGGUGACAGCCCCGUACACAAAAGCGCACAUGCUGUGAGCUCGAUGAGUAGGGCGGGACACGUGGUAUCCUGUCUGAAUAUGGGGGGACCAUCCUCCAAGGCUAAAUACUCCUGACUGACCGAUAGUGAACCAGUACCGUGAGGGAAAGGCGAAAAGAACCCCGGCGAGGGGAGUGAAAAAGAACCUGAAACCGUGUACGUACAAGCAGUGGGAGCACCCUU
rnacentral:rRNA from 1 species